rnacentral:rRNA from 1 species
CCCUUAGAUGUUCUGGGCUGCACGCGCGCUACACUGACGCACGCAACAGGUGCCUGCUCCGAGAGGACUGGGUAAUCAUUUGAGUGUGCGUCGUGAUGGGGAUAGAAUAUUGUAAUUAUUACUCUUCAACGAGGAAUUCCUAGUAAGCGCCAGUCAGCAGCUUGCGCUGAUUACGUCCCUGCCCUUUGUACACACCGCCCGUCGCUCCUACCGAUGGGUGAUCCGGUGAAUGAUUCGGACUUCAGCGGCUCCCCUGGGGUGCGCCGGAGAAAGUUUUGUGAACCUUAUCACUUGGGGGAAGGAGAAGUCGUAACA